rnacentral:sRNA from 1 species
CCCUAGCCCUGAUGGAAGCGGCAUCCUUUUGUGCCGGGGUUCGGCACAAAAGAUAUAGCGGACAGCAGGAAACAGC